GACGAACGCUGGCGGCGUGCCUAAUACAUGCAAGUAGAACGCUGAAGGAGGAGCUUGCUUCUCUGGAUGAGUUGCGAACGGGUGAGUAACGCGUAGGUAACCUGCCUGGUAGCGGGGGAUAACUAUUGGAAACGAUAGCUAAUACCGCAUAAGAGUAGAUGUUGCAUGACAUUUGCUUAAAAGGUGCAAUUGCAUCACUACCAGAUGGACCUGCGUUGUAUUAGCUAGUUGGUGGGGUAACGGCUCACCAAGGCGACGAUACAUAGCCGACCUGAGAGGGGGACCGGCCACACUGGGACUGAGACACGGCCCAGACUCCUACGGGAGGCAGCAGUAGGGAAUCUUCGGCAAUGGACGGAAGUCUGACCGAGCAACGCCGCGUGAGUGAAGAAGGUUUUCGGAUCGUAAAGCUCUGUUGUAAGAGAAGAACGAGUGGGGGAGUGGAAAGUUCACACUGUGACGGUAUUUUCCCAAAAAGGGGCGGCUAACUACGU
rnacentral:rRNA from 1 species